AACGUAGGUGGCGAGCGUUAUCCGGAUUUACUGGGCGUAAAGCGUGUGCAGGCGGGGCUCCAAGGGGGGUAUGAAAUUUCCCAGCUUAACUGGGAGAGGUUAUGCCAGACUGGAGUUCUAGAGUGCGAGAGAGGGGCGUGGAAUUCCGGGUGUAGCAGUGAAAUGCGUAGAGAUGCGGAGGAACACCGAUGGCGAAGGCAGCCCCCUGGGCUGACACUGACGCUCAGGCACGAAAGCGUGGGGAGCAAACAGG
rnacentral:rRNA from 1 species